GUCUCUGGAGUCAGCAGCUAAGCUUCAAUAACAGCUUUACCCAUUCCAAACUGAUGAGUUCUUGUAAGUUCUUUAAUUUCUGUAAGCAUCUAUAUUCUUCCUCUAUAUUAUGAGACAACAGUACCUACCUGAGAGUGCUGGAAGACUUAAUAAAUAACAGAUGUAACCAUUAACAUAACGCUUGGUACAUGCUAGAAAGAUGUGAGCUGCUGCUGUUCCUAUUAUUAAUAUGUGAUUCUGUUGGGGCAUUUCAACAUUGACUUUAAAUGAUGCAAGGCUUUCUUUUGUUUUCCCUAAGCCCCUUGGAACUCUAACCAUUGACCUGAUCAUUGUCUACAAACCUGAGGCUCUUUUCAGCUGCUCUGUUUGAGAGAGAAACAUCUAACCUACAAAGGGAAUCCCCAAAUCUCACAAGUCUCAGAUUACUGAGGGAUUGUCAUACCUGGAUAAAAUCAUAUUUAUAUGCUGUUUUCCUUAAGUGUAUGCCCACUUUAAAUGUCUCUCUGACAACUAAUUAUAAAAGGGAAAAGGAGUUUAAGACAUUCCAUUCUAUUUUCCCAAAUGACUGUUGUUGCUCACUGAAAGGCACAAACAUGCUGCAGUCUUUUGACUGUAUCUCUUCUCUUUUGAUGACCAACGUGCUCUAGGUUCUCUCCUGCUGGCAACGUGGACCAGGAGAAGUUAGCAGAUACGGUCUUCUAUCUCUGGACGGUUCACCUUUGGCUCAGUGCCCUACUGCUUGUAUACAGGAAAGAGAACAGAUGGUGCUAAGGUUUGUUGAAGCAGCCUACAGUAUUCCCAGUUCGUUCCCACAUUUCUGGAUUCUUUGUAAUUAGCUCACAACAUGUGUGAAAGUGAGCUCAGAUGUAACCUAAACCCAUGGAGCUUGGAAAAAGAAGCAUCUGCUGAGAGGAGCGGGGUUGAUCUUGAUUUGCUUUCAGUGAGUUGCCCCAGAGCUACUUAUACUUUCUUUGUCUAAGAAACAUUUAUUUUACAACCCACGGAGCAAUGCUGGGGAUGUAACUAUUUCUUGAUUCCUGUGGCACAGCAUCAUCUGCAGAGACCUUCAUUAUGUGAAGCAGCAUCUUCUUUCCCCUUGAUGUUGAAACUGGAUGAAGGAUCUUGUCAGGCUCACAGGUAUCACCACACAGGGUUUUGGGACCAAAAGCACUAAAAAUUUUCCUUUUUCUCCAAGUAUAUGACUCAGAAGAAAACCAAGAAAGAUAUUUUUCCCUUGUGACUUCUCUGCUCCACCUUUUUUCUGCUUCUAACAGCAACUAUGCUUUUAGCAGAAACUUUGCUCAGUAAUGAUUGUUAAGUACAUAUUAAGGACUUACUGUGUUGUGACUCAGGCACUAUUAAAUGACUUAUAUGCAUUUUUCAUUCAAUCCUCACAAUAACAGCACCAGUAACUAUGUUAUUAUUUUGUUUUAUAGGUGAGGACUCUGAGAUUAUCCAGGUAGUAAGUGGUAGUUCCGUAUGUUCUCUAUACGACUACUCAACUCUUUACCUUACACCCAAGUCCAUCAUACUUCAAAAGCCUGUUGGCUAAGAUUGAAUGAUCAGAAUCUGUCAGCAGUUGCUUUUAUUAAUGCCUCUACUUCUAGUUGCCUAACUUUCCCCCUAUGUCUGAUCUUAAUAUUGUCUCUUUCCUAUUUGGGGCUGAACAGAACCAACCCUCUACGGCGAGCUUGUCCAACCUGUGGGGCCGCUUGCAGUCCAGGAUGGCUUUGAAUGCAGCCCAACACAAAUCCGUAAACUUUCUUAAAACGUGAGAUAUUUUGUGUGUGUGAUUUUUUUUUUUUUUUAAAGCUCAUUAGCUAUCAUUAGUGUUAGUAUAUUUUAUGUGUGACCCAAGACAAUUCUUCUUCCAAUGUGGCCCAGGGAAGCCAAAAUACUGGACACUCCUGCUAUACUAGCAAUCUUGUCCAACCCGCCUUACUUUGUUUUGUUGUUGUUUCUGUUUUGUUUUGUUUUGCUUUGUUUUGUUUUAGGCUUUUAGCAGCCUGAAGCCAUGUCAUACCUAGAUAAAAAUCAUAUUUAUAUGGUGUCUUCCUGAAGUAUAUGCACACUUUAAAUGUCUGUCUGCCAACUAAUUAUAAAAGGGAAAAGGAGUUUAAGACAUUCCAUUCUAUUUUUAUAUAGUUUUUAUAUUAUGUCUCUAGUGAUAAGCAGUAAAGAGGGAUGAGGAAGGGGCUUUAUUGGCUCAACUAGAAACAAACCAAGGACCCACGACUGUAUUCCUCUCCCUUGGACACCCCUGGCAGAUCGUUAGGAAUGAAAUGGGGGGAUUUGUGUUAAGAUCAGAGUCCUAAUUAACUUUGCAAAUUUAUGGUUUGUUCCUCGGGGAAAUAUUCUUUAGAAUAACAAGGCCCGAAUAUCAAAGAUGAGUUAAGGUGGUUAAUGAGAAGGAGAAACAUUGUUAUAUCUAGAGGAGAGCUACUGUUGGUAGCAGUUCAGAAAGUAUUAUUCUUCCUGCUUUCUGUACAUAGCAGAAUAUCAGGAUAUUAUCUUUUUCAUCUAAGGGAAAAUUUACUAUCAAAGGAAAGUGAAGAAAUUAUCUGAAAUCGUAAUUCCUGAAGUAGUAUGUCAUAAAGCUUCUUUGAAUUGUACUUUUUUUAAAAAAGCUUUAGUUUGUACAUGCCAAUCUGUUAUAAUGCUUCACAAGAAAAUAUGACAUAUUAAUUUUAAAUAUUUAAUAUUGAUACCAAAUUUGUAGGGUAGCAUACACUUCUGUUGCUUCCUGUCCCAUCCUUUGGCCAACCUCUGAUUUUAGCCACAGCUGCAGGGCACCGUUUUCUGCACUCUUAGCCUCAGCUGACAGCAUUCUGUACUUCUUGAUGAGUCUUCCCAUUUUCUUUUUUUUUCUUUUCUUUUUUAUUAUUAUUAUACUUAUGAUUUCAUCCUCAGAAACCUUCAACACCAUCCUGUUACUAUAAUUAAGGAAACUGUGUAAAACCUUUCUUUCCAUCAUGCCUCUCCUUUAUAUUGGAUGUUUGAUAUCCUUUGGGCAAAAUCAAGAAGACCUUUGCAGGUCUCUUCGACAAACUCCUCCUGCGCCUGGCCUGUGAGGUAUCCAGUGCACUGAAUGUGGGUGCAGAAUCCUCUGCCUAGCAAGACCCACCAAGCUGCCAGGCAUGUCACAGAGACAUACAGGGCAGACAACAGUGAAUGCAUCUCUUUUUUUUCCCAGCUUUAUCCUGGUAUAACAGACAAAUAAAAAGUAUAUAUGUUUAGGAUAAAAAAAAAAAAAAUAUCUGAAAAGGGGUCCCUGAAUGAGUAGUCAGCUAUCCUUGUCUUCGUCCUUAUAAUCAUCUUCUGUAAUAAUUAUUUCAGACUUCUUGUCUCAAGGGCUUUACUUUUGACAGAGAGCAAAUACCUCAGGUUCUAGCCUUGGAACUUAGGAUUCCCCUCCUGAAUGUUCAGCAAACCCGAAUGGCAAAGGUACUCCUAAGGAAUCCUCUUUGGCCAGAUGGAUCAGGGAUACAUUUCCAAAAUUAGUGCUGCACAGAGAAUUCUCUCUCGUGGACUAAUUCUUCUCCCCCUCUCUGAGGACCAUCUGUCUCAUGGGCAGAAGAAAAAUAGGCAUCUGUUCAGAUUUGCAGGGUUGCCACCUGGACCUGUUCCUAUAGUGUUUCCAAGCAGAGGGUUGAGAUGUCUGUGGGCCAACCCAAAGCCUUAAGUACUAGGAUCUUCUGUGAGGAAUUACAGCAUCAAGACAAAAUAAUUUUGACCUAGAACCAGGUUUUGCAGAGCAAGAAUUAGUGAAUGCUCCACCAUUCUAGACCAGGGAUUGGCAAAAUUUUUCUGUAAAGAGCCAGGUAAUAUUUUAAGCUUUGUGGACCAUGUGACCUCUAUACAACUACUCAGCUCUUCCACUGUAGCACAAAAGCAGCAGUAGAUAAUAUUUAAAUGAGUUAUUGUGGCUAUGUUCCAGUAAAACUUCAUUUACAUAAAAGGUGGCUGGCAGGAAUUGGCCUGCGGGCCAUAGUUUGCUGACCCUUUCUCUGGAUUACAAGAACUCAAUCUGUAUAGGAGAUUUUCCCAUCCAAGGAUUUGGAUUCAUGUGAUGCAAUUGACAAGGUUGCUGUUGUGAAGUCUACACCCUUUGGUUUUGUAAGUUUGGUUUAAGAUAGUUUAGCCCUGCGCCUACACAGUGUUCAGUCUCGAUUCGCAGUUCUAGUGAUUUAGCAGUAACGUUAUCAACACAAGAUGACACCAAAAGAUCUCAUGCUGAUGUUGGACUCCCAGUGGAACACCAGGUACGUUGGAACAUCCAUCAGAACACAUCCCCUUAGAUAAUGCUGCUUUUAAACCGAGUGUGACUAGAUCAGUUCUUAGACGUUGUUGGGUGUACUGAAUAAAGUUAAUCAUGCUGAAUAGACUGUUCCUUUGCUUCUAGAUUCUGCCCCUAUGUGGGUUGGAGUUCUUCAGCAUGAAACUAAUAGCUUCCUUCUCAUGAUGCUGUGGGUGGUUCAGCAUAUCACAAUCACAGUGAUGGAUUUAGGCCCAGUAACUUUGUUCCCUUCCUCGUUUGGCUCUGAAAAAAAUACAUUGAGGGGGAAAAAGCUGCAGAUGUGAGCCACCAAAAUAAACACACUUGUGACAGAACUUAUGCUUCCUGUUUCUUGGUUGAGCUUGAAUUCUUUACAUCCAGACUGAUGGUUAACUGUCUAGGCAAGUGAAUUAGAAAUUGUUUGCAAGCUAGAAUGUGAAUACCAGUUAAGUGUUGCUGCAUUAUUUUGCAUCAUUUCCCUCUCUCUAUUCUCCCUCGGGAGGGUGCUAAUUGUGCCCACCCGAAAGUUCUGCUUCUAUCUGCCCAGUUUAAACAGGCACCUGCCUUGUUUGAUAUGUCUAGUAUUUGCCUUUGGAUUUGUGAUCAGGAAUAUGUGGCAGGGAGAGGCACUAACCUCUUUGCCAGGUGAUUGGAGGGCAAUAUUAACAUUAUAAAUGUUUCAUCACUUAAUUUUCUUUGAUUGGAUGAGUCAACAAUUGCGUGACUAGUUGCGCCCCCACUUAAACCUCUCAUUGUUGGAGAUAUGUGGAAGCAUCAAACGCACUCGAGAGCUUGUCUUCACUCGGAGAAUUUAGUCUCAAACAACAGCGAAGAUUGAAUGAAGAACAGAGAAUGUGAGGAAAUGCAAUGACAUAGAAGGAUGAAUACUGACUUAUUUUCUCCCAUAUUAGUCCAGUGGACUGUAGGCUUCUCGGUACCGACUGAGGUUAAUGAAAUUAUGUAAUAGUCUCAUGAAAAUGGUACAUGGAGCAGUCACUCGUCAUACUUAUUUGUUGACUCACUUAUUGUACUCUCAUACUGAUGGAUGUUUGUUAAGCCCUCGAAGGGGCCAAUAUCUAAGGUAUAGGUAUCUCUAAGAAGAGGAAAUAAAUGGAAGAGAGUGGAAAAAAUUAUGUGAAGAUACAGUUUUUUUCUUUAGUAUUUUUCUUCAGAAUUUGAAGAAGAGUUGUGAAAAAUGAGUAAUAUACGAGUGAAUUCAAUAGUAUUGGCCUGUUAUGGAAAAUAGUUCAUUUUUUCAUAUGUGAGAUUGCAGGAUUUAAUGAUGCUCAAUAGCUCAGUAGCUGCUUAAGAUAACAAGUGAGAAAGACAAGUAGAAAAGCAUUUGCAAUACCGAAUGGUGAGUAUGAGUGUAUCAGAGUGUGCAGAAAGCAAAGGAGCAUACCUUAGAUGUGAGGAGAUAAGACAUAUCUUCCUGACAGACAUAACAUAUCAACUGAUACUCAGCGAUAAGGGGGAAUUAGCUGGGCACAUGUGAAGAGCAAGGAGAGGCAUGCCAUGUGCAGAGGUGGUCCUGUGUAAAGGCUCAGAGGUAAGAAAGAAUAUAUGAGAGUUUAAGAACUUUCCCUUUUAACUAGAGUUUAACAAGUUUAAGAACGUGUCCCUUUUAACUAGAGUUAGGGACAAGGCAGGGAAUAGUGAGAGGCAAGGCUCACAGAUAUGAAUAGGGGCCAGACCUUUGUAGACAAUGCGUGGGACUAAGUUAGAGGUGCAUGAAUAUUCACUGUGAGGGCAGGUUUGCAGAUGAGGAGUAGUGACUUAGUUUGAGAUGUAUUUGAAGGAGAACUCGAGAGAUGGAAGAGGACUAGGAUACUAAGUGACUUGGAGUAAGCCAAGUGAGAGGAAAGGAAAAUGCCUAUGGAACUGGAAUGAAGAGACUUGUAAGAAAAUGCAAGUGUAGAUGUUGAUGGAGUUUGUCAGUGAUGUCGAAGAGGUUUAAUACAAUUCCAAAGAAUUCUUGCUUGCAAAACUAGCUCAAUCUUGUCUUUCUAGUUUUACCUUAUGCGGUUCCUUUCACAUGCCUACACCUCAGCCAACCUAGACAGUUUGCAGUGUCAUAAAUGUGAGCUUCAUUUUCCACCCUGUUACAUUUUUUCUUCAUCGUGAAUGUCCUUUUUGCACUUAUGAAUCCCUGAUGAAUCUGGAAGGGAGAGUAGGAUUUUAAUGAGAAAAGGGAACCUUUUUCUCUCUGCCAAGCUUUACUUCAAAUACCACCUUCUGAAUCCUUCCCUCUUGGUCUAAAAUCUGUUGUAGUGCCUGUAUCAUGGUUAGUGGGUCACACUUCUGACACGUUGACCACAUACGUCUUGAUUAUUUGUGCCUGUUUUUCUCAUUAUACCUGGUAGUUUGUCAAUAAAAGCGUGCACAGAUGCUUAUUAGAAUCAAACCGCCCAGGAUUAAAUCUGUCCUGUUUACUUCUUGGCACUGUUACCUGGAACAACUUCAUUUACAUCUUUGAGCCUCAACUUGCUCAUUUGUAAAAUGAACAUAAUAAAACCUACCUUAGAGAUUUGUUGUGAAGGGGGUAGAUAAUGAUGCAGAUCCAGUAUUUAGUGUCAUGUUUGGCACAUGACAGAUGCCAUUAUUGAGAGUUAUUGAUAGCAGUGUGUGGAUAUUGGGUUACAAGGAGCCCUUCCCUUAAGAAUUUCUCAUAAAUCACAAAGGACACCUAUACUAAUGGAUGUCCCAGAGUGUGUGGAUGAGGGGACAUCGAAAUGAUAUAUUCUAAUGAUUUUUCUCUACUUCUGGAGGAGCUGGCAGAUACCUAAAUCAUAUCAACAAGAAGUUUAUGGAAAAGAACUACAAUCAUCAUAAACCCAAUCAUGUUUUACUUGGUGUUGAAGGACAUUAAAAAAUCCCCCCCCACCUUAAUUUACUAAAUUACCGAACAAAUCCUGUUCCCAGAUCUCAGAAAACCACCUGGCUCAAUAUCACAAAGCACCCUGAUUUCUCCCUCAUCUUGAGAUGUCAGGAUCCCUCAGAAAACUUCAUAGAGGUGCCCUAGUAAGUAACAUGCCUCCAAAAGGAGCAAGUCUGAUGGUGAAUGAAUUCAUCUGUAUUUGCUUCACUUAAAGACUGUUUAGCUCUACAUAUUUCUCACAUUUAUGCUGAAUCUUUAAAAAAAAAAAAAAAAAAAAAAAAAAAGACGAGGUCUUGCUCUGUAGUCCAAGCUGGGGUGCUGGGUUGCAGUGGCAUGAUCAUAGCUCAUUGCAGCCUUGAACUUCUGGGUGCUCAAGCAAUCCUCCUACCUCAGCUCCCCAAAGCACUGGGAUUACAGGCACGAGCCACCCUGCCCUUCCCUGUUUCUUAAAGGUUUAUGAUUUUAUUUUACUUUUUGUUAUUUAGUGGAGAUUAAUUGCAUGCAUUCUAUAAACUUUUAUUCAGAUUUCACCUUUGUAUUUCACUCAAAAAAGUGGACUUUGCCCUACUUGGAUAAACAAUAAACUAGCCAACUUGGGAUCCAGCUUACAAAGCCCCUUUUAUCUUCUGUCCCACAAGUAGGUAGGGAAAAUUCAUGUAUGAACUGGGUCUCUAGUCCUUAUUUUUCUCAUCUUCCCCAUGGAUACUUUUAUGUGACUCAUAGUCUGUAGAUACUUUUCAUAUCAUGGAAAUUUAGCAUCUCACACAAUCAUCUUGAAGUGAAAUCUGUUUGUGUUUUUAAUCCACACAGGCAGUUUCCCAUUAUAAUAAAGCUUUCACAGUUGAGUACCACUGAUCUCUUGUGUUCUUGAAAGUGAUUGGUGAUUAAAAUCACCCUUUUUGCAAGCAGCUACCUACUGUUACUCUCCACAGAGAAUAAUGAAUCACCAUACACAGAAAUAUUAAGAUACCACUUAGAAUAUUAGAAUUUUAACCACUUCAUAUGGCUGAGGCACAGGGGCCUUUUCAUCCCCAAUGCUAGUUUUCUCAAAAUUGGUAAUGCGGCCCAGCUUUACUCUUAUGCUCUCCUGGGCCCAGGCUGCCUCCUGCAGUGUGGUGUGAAACUUAACUGUAAUUUGUUGUGACUGAUCCCUAAUGCAAGUGUUAACAGUGGCUACUUGCCAUGAGUAGGAGAGUGAGAGUAAGUGUUGUUUAUCCAGACAAGAAGUGAUACCAAAAUGAGACUGGAGGUGUGAUUCUAAUUUGCACCUCCGUUUCAUUUGCCCAGAGGAACUACAUUUUUUUGUCAUUAUUUCUGAAUAUAUAUAGUGACAGGGGAAGGCUUACCAAAUGCAUUGCUAACAGAUGUGACAAUCACACUUCUGUGCAGCCCCUCCUUUUGUUCAUUCAUGCUUUGGUUAAAUCACCUUGUG